rfam:Dipodomys ordii contig_9252, whole genome shotgun sequence.
UGGCUCAGUGGUAGAGCGCUUGCCUUUCAUGCAUGAGGCCCUGGGUUCGAUUCCUCAG